CGUUAGGUCAAUAGGUAAUACGUUUUAAGGGAUUAAAUCAAAAUAUAGGUGUUGAAUCUUUAAAAUUUUUUCAUCCUUUAUCCCAUACGUAAACACCAAAAGAUUCAAAUAUGGAACCAGGAUUAGAUACCCUGCUACCAUUGAGUAUAAUUUUGAAGAACCUGGGAAUUACGAGCUUACGCUUAAAACCUAAAGAGCUUGGCGGUUCUAUCUUAAACCAGGGGAGCAUGGCCUGUUAGCGAUAAUCCCCGAAAUUUUCACCUUCUCUAUAAGCUUAUAUACCCCCGUAUACUUUACAAUGAAAAUUUAAAAAAGUAAAUACCAAUGUAAAAUUCAUUAAUCAGGUCGAGGUGUAGCUGAUGAGUAGGGUUGAGCUGUGCUACCUUAAACACAUUUAAUGGAAACUAAAUUAAAAAACUUGGUUAAAACAGUACUUGGUAGUAAAGAACUCUUAAAAAGCUUUCUUGAAAAAUAAAGAUAGAGCGUACAAAUCGCCCGUCAAUCCCCCCUAAUAGGGGGGAUAA
rnacentral:rRNA from 1 species